rnacentral:rRNA from 1 species
AUGGGUGUGGCAGGAUACUACGACAUGAAACUGAUAUGGGAACAGCAGGACAAAGAAGCAGUAGCGGUGGGUGGGAGUCCGGCCUUUAGUGAAAUCAAGGGCGAAUGCACCAGAGAUUACUUGCGGGCACGUGCAAAGAGGCGUGAUGACGGAACUUAUUACUUUGAAAACGCACGUGACGCCAAACUGUAUGAAGUGAUGGUAGAGGCUUCCAAGAUCCCUGGAAGGUUCUACAGGAACUCAGGGCCAUGUGACAUUCUGUCCAUUGCUCUAGAGACAAAAGAGCCCCCUGGCCGUGCAAGGGGUAUAGGUGUUAAUGUCCCGCACAAGAGGGCUUUCACACUCAGCAAAGAAGAGAGGCUCAGCACGAAAAAAGCGAGGAGUGAAAUGAAGCAGAAUGCAUUGUUUGAAAAGUUGAAGAAGGAGAUAUAUCCGGCAGUUCGAAACGAUGUUGAGGACUCAAUGAUGAUGAUGCAGAAGACUCUAACACUGAUAGAUAGCCAGCAGAUGGGAGGGGAGGCGGGCAUGGAUGAUGCUGAUUAUUGCGCGACAACACUGCAUAAGAGUAGAUGUGCAUCAGCUGACCCUAGCGACACUGAGACUGCAGCUGCUCGUGAUGAUGCUAUAUCAGAUCUAUCUGGAAUGAAAGACAGACAGAAGGGCGUGCCUACACAUUAUGAAGGUACAUUAAAAUGUGCAAAAUCCUGGGUUUGCCCACCCUUCUUCGAAGAUGGCCUCUUCUUGGACAAUGUGCCAGUGAAGCCAGGCUGUAUGAAGUGCUACAUGACUGAAGUAAAGCCUGGAUUCAAUGAAUUUGCCCUGAAGAAUGUCCUAGGAGACUUCGAUGAGCAAAGGACCUUGGGAGAAACACUGCUACAUCACAUCCAGUGGCCACGAAAGGAAAUAGAGUUCAUCGAUGAGAUUCCUGAAGCCCCGCCAAGAGCAACCACUGUCGCCCCUCAACCGGUGACGCUCUCCUUGCUAGAGCAGCUCUUGCGGGCUGAUGCAUCAACCUCCCAGGAGUCCGUCACUGUAGCACCACCAGCGCUCAGCUCCGGCAUAGAUAAACGGUCUGCUAAGAAGUCCGUCCAAGCUUCACCGUCUACUUGGCAGUCCACCGUGCAGGCAACCAGGCGUUCUGCCAGAAAUGCUUCAAGUACCAAGAUGGAAGUGGCCAAAAAGGAUACACCCACGACCACGAGGAAGCGCAGCGGGAAAGUGAAGAGGAAAGAGAACGAUUGCCUCUUACUUAAAGCAUUCAUCGCCCAGAACCAAAUUAACAGCAGCUUGUUCGAAUCGGGGAGUAAUAUUAUUUCUGACGCCAUGGAUGAUGAACAAGUAGAAUUGUUGCUUGCUAAAAGAAAAGCAGGCGUACUUGAAGCACGCAAUUACGUCCAUGGCCAGCCAUUUCUUGUUGGCGAAUACUUUGAUGAGUGCAGCUCCAGUUGCCAGAUCAUUUCUGACACGAUGCUGGUUCCAUCAUUGGGAUUGAAUGUGCAGAGAAGACAAAGCGAGAGUGUGUAUUUCAUAGAUCCUGCAUUAGCAAAUGGCACAACAUUACAUGAAAAGGACCGACGGGACUGGGCCGUUAACACGGUCGUCCAUAUCUUCGAAAACACGUCCCAUGCAGAAUCAUUUCUCUGGCCAUAUCAUGAAGGACACAUGAUCUCCAUCUGCAAAUCUGCUGAUAGUUGUGACGAUCCUCGCGAAUUAGUACCACUCAACUUAAAACUGAGGACCCCUGAACCGCUCCCGGCUAAUGAAUUGCUGAUGGUUCGGAGAUUUAUCAGCAACUUCUUCCUGGAUCACUACAUCAAUCCCACUGGUGAUAAUGAAGAUUUCAGCAUGCCUUCUCCUAAAAUAUUGAGAUGGUGUGGUGGCGGCAUCCUCGUGGUGGACAUGUGCCCUCGGGCCGGCGUCUUCCCCAACAUCGGUGCAGAGCUUGGGAGCAAUGGGUUCAUGUUAGGAUAUGAGAGAUGGACUAGCCACGGGGAGUCUGAUGCACCUGAAAAUGUAGAGCAUGAUAACGUGGGGGGUGGAGAUAGAAUGAAUGACAUGCUAGUUGAUGCAAUUGUUGCUGAAGGAGUUUCUAAAGCAAGGCUGUACAUUUUGACUAACUCUGUUGUUGAUAGAUUUCGUGAAACAUUUGAAGAUGAAAAGUAUGCAAGUCAUCCAAACUUGACAUCGGAGGGCCUUGAUGAAAUGAUGGCAUCCGAAUUUGUGGAAUGGUUCGAGAUUGCUGAAGGUGGUCAGCUGGGUAGUUUUUCUGUAGAUGGUGGAAAAUUUGUUGAUGAAUCUACUGAGCCAAGAAAGGAGUCAGAUGAUGUGGAGCUUGAUCCCUCUGAAAUUUAUGUAAUCAAAAAUCAAGGCAAUAAUUAUGAGGGAGAAGAAUCUUCAGAAGAUGAAUUGGACGAGAGUACUGAUGAGGAAGAAGAAGAUUUACCUGAAGAGGAAGGACAAGAAGAGACAUAUGAGACCGAAGAUGAGGAUGAUGCAAUAGAGCAUGACUCCGGUCUCAGACUAGAGGAAAUUGACCGACCGCUUAUAGUUCCCGUUGGCAUGGCAUGGGAAAGGCAGCCAUACAGCGCUUGUGAUCCAUCGACAGUGCUAGGUGCCUUAGUGCGCCAGAUGUAUCCACCGCCAAUUGGUCCAAAAAAUGAUCAGAAACUGUGGCGAUUCAAGUGCGACCCAUCGGAGCAAGAGAAGGCAGAUGGUCUUUUGGAGGAGAACUUAACUAGGAAAGUGAAGCAGAUGCUACAUGAGGAAAAGGCGGCAGCCAUCAAAAGAUUAAAGAAGAAGGGACAAUUGCCUAUAGAACUAACAGAAGAGGAUGAGGAUGGUAACCGCUGGCCAACUAAGGAAGCUUUAAUUUCUGCAAAGAGAGUUGACUUUGGUACAGACGUUGGUUGGCGUCUACUAUGUGAGCACUCGAGUAGUACGGAAUUUCGAGGGUUAUCUUUAACCAACAAGAGGAACAGACUUGCUAAUGGGAACACGGUCUUCCAUUGCAGUGGUGCUAGAAAUGUUGUUGCCACGCGUCAAUUUCUGAAACUUAAAACCGGGAAAGACCCUGGAAUUUCUGGUGCUUGGCUUCACACGCACAAAUUGCAUCGAGGGACUGAUGAAGAGCAGAUAUGCAGUCAAAGAACUGCUGAUCAUUGGGAGGAUUUUGAUAAGGCAAUGAAAAAUGCCCAUGGAGAAAAUUGGGAAGAGGAGCACCCGGAUUUAGAUGGACAGAUCAUCUAUGAAGCAGCAGGCAGAAUGCCACAUGGCAGGCUGGGAAUUGCUAAUGAGUUUUUUAGCAAAGCAGAGAAGGCGAAGUUUAAGUCUAAAAGGUCUUUGGCUGAGAAACGGGAAGUCGACUUUGAUGGCAUAAUGCAAUCAGCAGCAGAUGACUUGGGAAUGGGAAGCAGGACUGGAGGCAGUACGAGUCAUGGAAAUGAUGAUGAGGAUGACUACUAUGGCAAUAGGGGAUAUGAUAACUAUGGCGAGGGUGAUCUGUAUGGUGAUGAGCACUAUGAUCACUAUGGCCAUGGGGAAUAUGAUGACUAUGGAGAUGAGGAUGACUAUGGCUAUGCCGGUGGCGAUGGCGAUGAUGAUGAUUGGCUAUAA